GAAUGAUUUAUUCUGUUUGAGACUUGGGGCACCCUAGCUGCUUCCCCUCUGCAGGAGAGGCUGUAUAGUUCUUCCUGCCCUGCAGUUGUGAACACAAUGUGAAUGCAUUGUCUCCCCUACAACAAAACCAGUCUGCCCCAACUCGGGUGUCACACCCGUUUGGUGCAUGAAUGGGGAGAGGUCUUUUGGAACUGGAAGAAGAAUUUGAAGUUCUCAGACUGACAAAAUGCAGCAGGACCCUUUUCCUCAUCAUGGACCGCAACCACAUGGAAACGCCACUUACAGUUGGACUCAGCACAACGUCUCAAUCCUUUGGAGUUCGGCCAGGCAUGGCUGCCCUUCUGUUCUGUUUCCUGCUGAUCUUCAUGCAACAGCUGCUUUACUCUCAGCCGUCUUCAAAAACCCCAGCCCCGCCAAGGUAGGUAUGCCAUGAAAAGGAACGUGGCCCGGCCCAAAGUUGAGACUAUCUCAAGCCACAAGGUCCCACACUGUUGGGUAGACACAGAUCAUUGUUUUGUUGACCAAGAGAACUGAAAACUGUAAGCCCCCUGCAGGGCCUGCAGGAGUCUGCUGAGGCACACGGAGUGCUGCAGGGCACAGAGAGGGAAACACAGGUGCAGGAAAGAUCCCUGGACUGGGAAGCCGGCAAGGCCUGAGUCUAAGUCCUGACGCAGCCCUUGAGGAGCUGUGCAACCUUAGGGCAAGUGGACAACUUCUCUGAGCUUCAGUUCUCUAGUCACAUAAAAGGGAGGCGAGAAGCCCUAACAUCACACCCUAUUUAGAAUUCGCUUCUGCAGGACGUUCCCAUUGUGGUUCAGCGGUAACAAAACCAACUAGUAUCUAUGAGGAUGUAGGUUCGAUCCCUAGCCUCCCUCAGUGGGUUAAGGAUCUGCGUUGCCAUGAGCUGUGGUGUAGGUCACACAUGCAGCUCAGAUCCUGUGUUGCUCUAGCUGUGGUGCAGGCUGGUGGCUGCAGCUCCAAUUCAACCCCUGGCCUGGGAACUUCCAUAUGCUGUGGGUGCGGCCCUAAAAAGCAAAAAGAAAAAAAGAGUUCACUCCUCUAAAGAGACAAGCCCCAAGCAACUGACACACAUUUUGCAAAGGAUAUAGAGAAAGUGCAACUAUCAAUCAAACGAGGCUCUUGUUCCCCCAAAUCGAUCCAGAGAGCUCAGUAAGAGAGGAAUUGUCUGGGGCUGCAGAAAUUCUGAUUCACAUCUGAGACAGGGUCCUGAGCCUGCAUUUUUUUUUUUUAUUAAAGUUCUUCCAGAUGAUUCUGUUGCCUGGAUUAAUUUAAGCAUCAUUUCCUCCUGAUGACGCAGCAAAAUGGAGAGCCUCGUGCUCCAGAGCACAAAGUCUGCAGAAAAUGUUGGAGUGUAUUAACAUCAACCUCAGUAUUUGCUUUUUCGUGAUACUUCAUCACCUUCUCUUACCCCUUUUAAUAUGGUCACAUCAUUCACGUGGGUUUAAGGCCCAGUUUCUGGGCAGGACAGCCACGAGGCCUCACCCUGUCAUCACAGAGUUCGUGAAGUCAUCUGGUUGUGGCUGGGACGCAGCCUCCAGCGGUCCCUAAGCAAAGAAUAAACAUAUGCUUUUAUUUUCUUAAUGCUGUUGG
rnacentral:lncRNA from 1 species